AGCGAACGCUGGCGGCAGGCCUAACACAUGCAAGUCGAACGAAGCCUACGGGCUUAGUGGCGGACGGGUGAGUAACACGUGGGAACGUACCUUUUGGUUCGGAACAACUCAGGGAAACUUGAGCUAAUACCGGAUGAGCCCUUAGGGGGAAAGAUUUAUCGCCGAAAGAGCGGCCCGCGUUAGAUUAGCCAGUUGGUGAGGUAAAGGCUCACCAAGGCAACGAUCCAUAGCUGGUCCGAGAGGAUGAUCAGCCACACUGGGACUGAGACACGGCCCAGACUCCUACGGGAGGCAGCAGUGGGGAAUCUUGCGCAAUGGGCGAAAGCCUGACGCAGCCAUGCCGCGUGAAUGAUGAAGGUCUUAGGAUUGUAAAAUUCUUUUACCAGGGACGAUAAUGACGGUACCUGGAGAAAAAGCCCCGGCUAACUUCGUGCCAGCCGCCGCCGUAA
rnacentral:rRNA from 1 species